rfam:Mesotoga prima MesG1.Ag.4.2, complete genome.
GGGGACGUAGCGCAGUUGGGAGCGCGAUACAAUGGCAUUGUAUAGGCCGAGGGUUCGAAUCCCUUCGUCUCCA